rnacentral:rRNA from 1 species
UCUACGGGCGGCAGCAGUGGGGAAUAUUGGACAAUGGGGGGAACCCUGAUCCAGCCAUGCCGCGUGUGUGAAGAAGGCCCUCGGGUUGUAAAGCACUUUCAGUGAGGAAGAACGCCUGGUGGUUAAUACCCAUCAGGAAAGACAUCACUCACAGAAGAAGCACCAGCUAACUCCGUGCCAGCAGCCGCGGUAAUACGGAGGGUGCGAGCGUUAAUCGGAAUUACUGGGCGUAAAGCGCGCGUAGGUGGCUUGAUAAGCCGGUUGUGAAAGCCCCGGGCUCAACCUGGGAACGGCAUCCGGAACUGUCAAGCUAGAGUGCAGGAGAGGAAGGUAGAAUUCCCGGUGUAGCGGUGAAAUGCGUAGAGAUCGGGAGGAAUACCAGUGGCGAAGGCGGCCUUCUGGACUGACACUGACACUGAGGUGCGAAAGCGUGGGUAGCAAACAGGAUUAGAUACCCGAGUAGUC